CCGGCUUACCAACCCGAUGCAAACUGCGAAUACCGGAGAAUGUUAUCACGGGAGACACACGGCGGGUGCUAACGUCCGUCGUGAAGAGGGAAACAACCCAGACCGCCAGCUAAGGUCCCAAAGUCAUGGUUAAGUGGGAAACGAUGUGGGAAGGCCCAGACAGCCAGGAUGUUGGCUUAGAAGCAGCCAUCAUUUAAAGAAAGCGUAAUAGCUCACUGGUCGAGUCGGCCUGCGCGGAAGAUGUAACGGGGCUAAACCAUGCACCGAAGCUGCGGCAGCGACACUGUGUGUUGUUGGGUAGGGGAGCGUUCUGUAAGCCUGUGAAGGUGUGUCGUGAGGCAUGCUGGAGGUAUCAGAAGUGCGAAUGCUGACAUAAGUAACGAUAAAGCGGGUGAAAAGCCCGCUCGCCGGAAGACCAAGGGUUCCUGUCCAACGUUAAUCGGGGCAGGGUGAGUCGACCCCUAAGGCGAGGCCGAAAGGCGUAGUCGAUGGGAAACGGGUUAAUAUUCCCGUACUUGGUGUUACUGCGAAGGGGGGACGGAGAAGGCUAUGUUGGCCGGGCGACGGUUGUCCCGGUUUAAGCGUGUAGGUGUGUGUUCCAGGUAAAUCCGGUUCACUUUAACACUGAGGCGUGACGACGAGGCACUACGGUGCUGAAGCAACAAAUGCCCUGCUUCCAGGAAAAGCCUCUAAGCAUCAGGUAACAUCAAAUCGUACCCCAAACCGACACAGGUGGUCAGGUAGAGAAUACCAAGGCGCUUGAGAGAACUCGGGUGAAGGAACUAGGCAAAAUGGUGCCGUAACUUCGGGAGAAGGCACGCUGACACGUAGGUGAAGUGAUUUACUCAUGGAGCUGAAGUCAGUCGAAGAUACCAGCUGGCUGCAACUGUUUAUUAAAAACACAGCACUGUGCAAACACGAAAGUGGACGUAUACGGUGUGACGCCUGCCCGGUGCCGGAAGGUUAAUUGAUGGGGUCAGCGCAAGCGAAGCUCCUGAUCGAAGCCCCGGUAAACGGCGGCCGUAACUAUAACGGUCCUAAGGUAGCGAAAUUCCUUGUCGGGUAAGUUCCGACCUGCACGAAUGGCGUAAUGAUGGCCAGGCUGUCUCCACCCGAGACUCAGUGAAAUUGAACUCGCUGUGAAGAUGCAGUGUACCCGCGGCAAGACGGAAAGACCCCGUGAACCUUUACUAUAGCUUGACACUGAACAUUGAGCCUUGAUGUGUAGGAUAGGUGGGAGGCUUUGAAGUGUGGACGCCAGUCUGCAUGGAGCCGACCUUGAAAUACCACCCUUUAAUGUUUGAUGUUCUAACGUGGACCCGUUACCCGGGUUGCGGACAGUGUCUGGUGGGUAGUUUGACUGGGGCGGUCUCCUCCUAAAGAGUAACGGAGGAGCACG
rnacentral:rRNA from 2 species